rnacentral:rRNA from 1 species
GAUGAACGCUGGCGGCGUGCCUAAUACAUGCAAGUCGAGCGAACAGACGAGGAGCUUGCUCCUUCGACGUUAGCGGCGGACGGGUGAGUAACACGUAGGUAACCUACCUAUAAGGCUGGGAUAACUUCGGGAAACCGGAGCUAAUACCGGAUAAUAUUUCGAACCGCAUGGUUCGAUAGUGAAAUAUGGCUUUGCUAUCACUUAUAGAUGGCCAUGCGCCGUAUUAGCUAGUUGGUGAGGUAACGGCUUACCAAGGCAACGAUACGUAGCCGACCUGAGAGGGUGAACGGCCACACUGGAACUGAGACACGGUCCAGACUCCUGCGGGGGGCAGCAGUAGGGAAUCUUCCGCGAUGGGGGAAAGCCUGACGGAGCAACGCCGCGUGAGUGAUGAAGGUCUUCGGAUCGUAAAACUCUGUUAUUAGGGAAGAACAAACGUGUAAGUAACUGUGCACGUCUUGACGGUACCUAAUCAGAAAGCCACGGCUAACUACGUG